rnacentral:rRNA from 1 species
GGUUUCCCUUUACGAAUUGUAGUUUAAAGAAGUGUUUUCUGUUGAGGUUUUGGUAAAAGUUCUUUGGAAUAGGACAUCAUAGAGGGUGAGAAUCCCGUAUUUGACCUUUACUUUCAACUUUGUGAUACACUUUCAAAGAGUCGGAUUGUUUGGGAAUGCAGUCCAAAAUGGGUGGUAAAUUUCAUCUAAAGCUAAAUAUUGGCGAGAGACCGAUAGCGAACAAGUACCGUGAGGGAAAGAUGAAAAGAACUUUGAAAAGAGAGUUAAACAGUACGUGAAAUUGUCAAAAGGGAAGCGUUUGACACCAGUGUUGUUUUUCUGAAAAUCAAUUAAGGAACUGUUUAUGCUAAGCUGUUUAGACUUUAUCAGCUAUCUGUUUAGUUUUGAGCUUUUCUUU